UGGGGAAUAUUGCACAAUGGGCGACCUCCUGAUGCAGCGACGCCGCGUGAGGGAUGACGGCCUUCGGGUUGUAAACCUCUUUCAGUAGGGACGAAGCGCAAGUGACGGUACCUGCAGAAGAAGCACCGGCUAACUACGUGCCAGCAGCCGCGGUAAUACGUAGGGUGCGAGCGUUGUCCGGAAUUACUGGGCGUAAAGAGCUCGUAGGCGGUUUGUCACGUCGUCUGUGAAAUCCUAGGGCUUAACCCUGGACGUGCAGGCGAUACGGGCUGACUUGAGUACUACAGGGGAGACUGGAAUUUCUGGUGUAGCGGUGGAAUGCACAGAUAUCAGGAAGAACACCGAUGGCGAAGGCAGGUCUCUGGGUAGUAACUGACGCUGAGGAGCGAAAGCAUGGGUAGCGAACAGG
rnacentral:rRNA from 1 species